AUAUUACAUGUGACAUGAGAGAAGCCGUAAAUAGCAUCUCAGGAAAUAAAGUUGUCCUAUGUACCCCUGAAGGUUUUCACUAUAAGGUCAAUGUGACUAAAAGGAUUGAUGUCACGAGUAUUCAUGGUGCUAGAUGGAACGAGUUUCUAUUUGAUUACAAUCUAUUGGAGGGAGAUAAAGUUCUAGUUAUAGUUACAAUAUAUGGUUUGCUUGUUGCUGCCAUAAGUAAGGAAAAUGUUUUUAAAAUCAGGUCACCGACAGCAGUUGCACAGAGUGUUGAAGAUGAUGUCAAACGUAUUAUAGAUGAUGUUGUGAUGACGAGAGGUUGUCGUCUAUGGUGGAUGAAGAUGAUAAUUUGGUUCAAUUAAUGCAAAAUACCACGAGAAGUUGCUGAUGAAUUAGAUGUUUGCAAUGAAGGAAUGACAUUGUUAGUAACGUACAAGACUUUCAAUCUUUAAAUCGACGGAACAUACAAGAAAGCACCACCCAAAGAUGGAAGAAUUGUGCUAGUGACUGGAUGGAAGGCUUUCUGUGAGCAAGCAGGUAUUAUGAAGAAUAAAGCCAUCAUGAUGCAGUUCUCUAAGAGAAAUGAUGACCUGGUUAUAGUAACCACUUUAUUAUAGAUGUCAUACUAUGUGGAUGGUAUGAAAUAGAUAGCAUAGUGUUCUAUGCAAUAUUUUUGUAAUGCAUAAUUCAUGUGUUCUCCUUGACUUGAAAACUCUAACAUUCGUUGCUAUGGAUAUUUGAUAUGUUUCUAUGGCGAACUAAAGUUGGGGCGCCAAGAAUAAGUUUUGUGUUGUGAAAUAAUUUGGCACUUCAAAUAUAUUUUGAGUACUGAAU